AUACGUAGGGUGCGAGCGUUAAUCGGAAUUACUGGGCGUAAAGCGUGCGCAGGCGGUUUUAUAAGUCAGAUGUGAAAUCCCCGGGCUCAACCUGGGAACUGCGUUUGAAACUACAAGACUAGAGUGUGGCAGAGGGGGGUGGAAUUCCGCGUGUAGCAGUGAAAUGCGUAGAGAUGUGGAGGAACACCGAUGGCGAAGGCAGCCCCCUGGGUCAACACUGACGCUCAGGCACGAAAGCAUGGGGAGCAAACAGGAUUAGAUACCCCAGUAGUCC
rnacentral:rRNA from 1 species